rnacentral:sRNA from 1 species
CCUCUUCCACCUGCUGGGGGCAAAUAUAGUGCACAUGCGCGUCGAUGGCUCCCGCCGUCACGAUCAGCUUUUCGCCAGCGAUGACCUCCGUCGACGAGCCGACAACGAGCGAUAGCUGCACAUCGGCCAUGACGUCCGGAUUUCCCGCCUUGCCAAUGCCCACGAUGACACCGUUCUUGACGCCAAUAUCCGCCUGGUUAUACUAUUGAGGAUGUUUCUAUGUACGAUGGCCUAUAUGUUCACCUUGUAAAUGCCUGACCAGUCGACGAUAAGCGCGUUCGUAAUGACCAGGUCCAGCGCUUCAGCAGAAGACCUGUUUGUAGCCUGGCCCAUACCCUCGCGGAUG